rnacentral:rRNA from 1 species
UACAGAGGUCCCGAGCGUUGUUCGGAUUCACUGGGCGUAAAGGGUGCGUAGGUGGUGAGGUAAGUCGGAUGUGAAAUCUCGGAGCUUAACUCCGAAACUGCAUUGGAAACUACCUUGCUCGAGGGUUGGAGGGGGGACUGGAAUUCUCGGUGUAGCAGUGAAAUGCGUAGAUAUCGAGAGGAACACCAGUGGCGAAGGCGAGUCCCUGGACAACUCCUGACACUGAGGCACGAAAGCUAGGGGAGCAAACAGG